rnacentral:rRNA from 1 species
GACAGAGGGUGCAAACGUUGUUCGGAAUUACUGGGCGUAAAGCGCGCGUAGGCAGCUGCGUGUGUCGGGCGUGAAAUCCCACGGCUCAACCGUGGAAGUGCACUCGAAACUGCGCAGCUAGAGUCUCGGAGAGGAAGGCGGAAUGCUUGGUGUAGAGGUGAAAUUCGUAGAUAUCAAGCGGAACACCGGUGGCGAAGGCGGCCUUCUGGACGAUGACUGACGCUGAAGCGCGAAAGCGUGGGGAGCAAACAGG